UCAACUUAGUCAUUCUACGCGGUCUGUUGUCCGAAGAAGAGUCAAGAAUUCAAUCCAAUUGAUUGAAGUCGAAGCGAUCCAAUGAGUAUUGUUUGAGAGUCUCCGACGUCGGUGUUUAAAAUCAGAUAAGUGUCUCAUUUCAUAUAGCUUAGCUGAUUUAAUCUGCUGCUUUUAGACUGUUGAAUUUUUUUAUCUCUAUUGUGAUGGACUUGCUUAUGCAAAUUCGUUGUUACAGAAAGUUCUAUGUGGUGAUAACAAUUUUUCCAGUUUCGACACAUGCUAACUGGUCGUCAUUUGUUGGUGACGAUAGCUUUGUUCAGGUUCUGAUUUUCGAAGGCAGUAGGCACAUACAUCCCGGCGAGGAUGUGAAUGGAGUCACCGACAGUGCCACAAGUACACUGUUAAAAAAACAAUAGUCACAUUGAACUUUUAAAUGAUAAAAGUGUAGUUGGAAUCCUAUAUAAUUUUAGCUACAGAACAAGCUUUGAAUUCCUUAAAGGAGCUUCAGAACAAGCUAAUGCACAAGUUGAUGCACGUAAGAUCUUUAGCGAUGAAGUAUCUUUCUAUGGUACACUCAUGGUUGACGGGUUUUAACGGAUGGAAGCAGUUUGAAUCCCAUUCCGAGGCUGUGUCGGCUAUAGCCAUCACAUGGUGAACAAGUCAUAAUGCAAGGUUGAGGUUGACACUGCUGGGAAAGCCAUCAGCGUGUUGUGCUUGGUUUGGUUCAUGUGUUGAUGAACUGCAGUUUCGGAGCCAUUUCAUGAAUGUGACCACAUGUUUGAUGAAAUGUCACAUUCAUGAAUAGAAGGAUAACUAGAUUGCAAUUCCUGAGCCAUUUCAGGUGGUUCUUGGAGGUGGUGAGGAUGUAUCAACUGUUACAACUACUGAUCAAAGUGCUGGCAUAAUGAGGAGUGAUGGCUGAAUGUUAUCUAACAAAGAGAAUAUCCUCUCAUGUGUCAAGGCUGAUGAAACUGUUUUUAGAUUGUAGGUAUUGUGAGACUGUGCCAUGUGACGAUUACGAAGCUGCAUUGACUCUUCGCUAUUGUUACAGAUGCAACAUCUAUCGUUGAUCUAUUCAUCGUGGUUCCCGUGUUUCUGACUGCCUAUAUAUGUCACUACAAUGUUCACAUCAUAGAUAAUGAUAUCGAGGACAACUCAUAGAUGCAAAGUGUUGUAUGUGCACCCUUGGUCUAUGCUCAUCCGUGUACAUGAUGAUAAGCUUCUUCGGGUUCCUCCUAUUCGGUGAAGGAACCCUUGAUGAUUUGCUAGCCAACUUCGAUACCGAUCUCAUAAUUCCUUUUGGUUCUCUGCUCAACGACGUUGUUCGUAUUAACUAUGCUGCACACCUCAUGUUUGUAUUUCCAGUUGUGUUUUUCCCGUUGCGACUCAAUAUAGACGACUUACUCUUCCAGUCUUCAAUACCUUUAAUUCUCGAUAACUUCAGAUUCGCAUCAAUCAUGGCUUCCGUUAUCGGUGUUAUCUUCCUUGGAGCAAACUUCAUACCUAGCAUUUGGGAUGCUUUCCAAUUCACCGGAGCAACCGCCGCAGUCUGUAUAGGAUUUAUCUUUCCAGCCGCCAUCACUCAAGUUUGUGAUUUUUCAGCUUCUUUCUGACUCGGCAAUAUCUUAUGGUGUGUUUAAUACAUUUUUACACCAUUUAAUGAAACUUAUGGAUUUGAAGCAAAAAGGAACAUUUGAAACCGGGCAAGAGGAGUAGGACACUACAAAUUCCCUGAAGAACUGAGACUGAGAUUGGCAUAUAGAGAAGCAGCUGUUGUUGUUCAUGCAGCUUCCUACAUUACGCCUGAAUAUAGAGCAGAAAAAAUGUCU